rnacentral:lncRNA from 1 species
UGCAUUUCCUUUCCUUAUCAAACAAAUAACACACACACACACACACACACACACACACACUGGCAGUUACGCAAUGCUUUGUGCAGUUGCUAUGAGACCAACAGCCCUUGCCUGUGUGUGACUCGGCACACGCUCGCCUUCCCGCUCGGAAAGCAUCAGAAGGCACCGGGAAUUUCUCAAAUGUUCAUAAGAAUGUCAGAGGGCGCUCUGAGUAAUCACAAUUCCUGCAGCAUCUCAGAGGCCGGGGGGCGGGGAAAUGUGGUCCCAGUUUCCUCUUAGAGACAACAGUCUUUGAAACUUUUGCCACAAGAGUUUUCCUUUAUGGCCAGAGAGUGGCACAAACGCACGUAUGUGGAAGACCCCAGUGAGUGAGAAAUCCUGCUGCAGGGUCGUCCCGCCCGAGGGACACAGCACACUCUAAUUCCCCUGUGCCUUCCUUUUUUGUUUUCUUUUUUUUUUUGGUCUUUUUGAGACAGGGUCUCACUAUGCAGUUCAGGCUGGUCUUGAGCUCACUUUGUAGCCCAGGCUGGUCUCGAACUCACAAGGAUCCUCCUGCCUCAGCCUCCCGAGUGUUGGGAUUACAGGUGUGCGCCACCACCCCCGGCUUAAUUCUACUGUUGAUGUUCUGAGCACCUUCCCUGUGGGACUCAACCUUUGUCAUCUUCCCUCUGCCUCUGUUUUCUUGUACCUCUAGGCAUCUCCUAGGUGGGACCUCAGACACCCCGUGUCCAGAGGGACGGUGACUUGCCUGCAGUGAAGGAUGGCAGUCGAAGUCUCCCUCCAGUGCCACAUCCUGGCUGAGUUCCAGUCCCCACCUGCCAGGUUCACCUUAGGCAAUUUCAUUUUCUAAGCAGAGGGCAAACAAAGAAAGAGGGGUGGAAAGGAAAUAAAAUAAGUCAGCCCACGCCAGGUGCCUCGGCCUUCUCUCUGUGGUCAGGAGUAGCCGUCAUGGCAACUGCCCCAGUCGUGGUGUUCGAACCCUGGAGCAACUAAAGGUGGAACUCCACGCAGAGAGGAAGGGCAGGGACAGAGUUGCUGAGCAGGUUGGAGCCGCGCUGCGCACACCCCAGGACCUCCUGGACCCGCGGCGGCCUAGCUCUGACGGUGAGCAGGAAGGUGUGCAGCUGAAGACAGCCGGCCCAGACUCCGAGAGCGGAGAGCCUGCCCUCCACGCACAGCUCCAGGGAUGUAGGACAUUUGAGGGUGACAAUUUUUGACUCGUGGGACAUCUGGAUGCAGCUGUUUUUAUAAACUUGUCUUUCAGAUUCAAAAGUAAAACCACUGAGACAUCAGCUAGCUGUGCCCCCGCUUGUCCUCCCACUGCGCCGGCGCACGGGGAACCCCUGAGUAGAC